rnacentral:piRNA from 1 species
UAGAUUCACGGCCAGAGUGGUGCAUG